rnacentral:rRNA from 1 species
UACGUAGGGUGCGAGCGUUAAUCGGAAUUACUGGGCGUAAAGCGUGCGCAGGCGGUCUUGCAAGACAGGUGUGAAAUCCCCGGGCUUAACCUGGGAACUGCAUUUGUGACUGCAUCGCUGGAGUGCGGCAGAGGGGGAUGGAAUUCCGCGUGUAGCAGUGAAAUGCGUAGAUAUGCGGAGGAACACCGAUGGCGAAGGCAAUCCCCUGGGCCUGCACUGACGCUCAUGCACGAAAGCGUGGGGAGCAAACAGG